ACUGGCCACCUAAGAGCUAGGCUGGCUGAUGGAAGUGAAACAAGGCAGAAGAUGACCCCAUCCCAGCAGCAAAGACCCACAGGCCAGGCUGGGCAGAGCAUCCUCCCUUUCCCAGACCGCCUGGCUUGGGUUCCCUGGCAAGGCUGGCGGACCUAGAUCCACCCGGCAUUGCCACACUGGCGGAAAUGGUGGUUACUGUUCGAGCCAAACCCUGGGACUGUGGCGACAGCCCUGACGGAGGCCCAGCCACCACAUCAAGGACACGGCUCCACCCUCCUCUCAGCAUCCCCUCCCACCUCAGGCUUCCCCGCCUCCCUCCUUCCCAGAGAACCCAGGGUGUAACCUCUCCUUGAGGCCAAGGUGAUGGCACCAGGGGUUGACAAGGUGUUCAAUCCAGGGCAACUGGACUCUCUCUCCCUGGAAUGGGGUUUAGGACUCUGAGAAACAGUAGCUACGAAGCAGCUACGCCAUAAGCUCACAGAGAGUUGAGGCCAUUUGGAGCCAUGAGUGACCAUGUGGAAGCAGAAGCAGCUAGUCUUCAGAGAGAAAGCCCAGCUGCACAGAGAGAAGUGGUGAUAAGGAACUGUGCUGCCCCUGGAAGGAGUGAUGCAGGUGAGAGGCAGCCUGUCUCUCCCACAUUUUACCCUCUCCUUGGAUGUUUACCAGAUUGUCUGUUAUAACCUUCCAAUAAACCUCCUUUUCCUUGAGCUGGCUUGAGAGGGUUUCUGUUCCUUGCAACCACAUGGCCUUGAACUAAGACAUGAACAACACAUCUUAAGCAUAAAGUUCCUGGUGCAGUGCUUAACUCAUCAUUGGCAACUAAAAACUGUAGCUAUUAUUAUUUCAUUUGCUCCUCAAAGAAACCUGAUGAGAAAAAAAGGUAUUAUUAUACCCAUUGGGAAAAUGAGAAAACUGGGGCUUGUUGACAUAGCAGCAAAUACUGGCUAAAUUCCAGUGCUGGGGAUUCAGGAGAGACAAGGUCCCAGCUUUGAAGAUGCCUGCAUUCCUAUGCAGCAGGCAGACAACAAACAAAUUUAGGUUGAGCAUCACAAAUUCAAAAAUCUGCAAUCCAAAAUGCUGCAAAAUCCAAAACUUUUUGAGCACAGACAUGGUGUUCAAAGGAAAUGCUCAAUGGAGCAUUUUGGAUUUUCAAUUUCUGGAUUUGGAAUUCUGAACCAGCAAAAUGCAAAUAUUCCAAAAUCCAUACAAAUCUGAAAUCAGGAACACUU
rnacentral:lncRNA from 10 species